UAGUCCACGCCGUAAACGAUGAGUGCUAAGUGUUAGAGGGUUUCCGCCCUUUAGUGCUGCAGCAAACGCAUUAAGCACUCCGCCUGGGGAGUACGGCCGCAAGGCUGAAACUCAAAGGAAUUGACGGGGGCCCGCACAAGCGGUGGAGCAUGUGGUUUAAUUCGAAGCAACGCGAAGAACCUUACCAGGUCUUGACAUCCUCUGACACCUCUGGAGACAGAGCUUUCCCCUUCGGGGGACAGAGUGACAGGUGGUGCAUGGUUGUCGUCAGCUCGUGUCGUGAGAUGUUGGGUUAAGUCCCGCAACGAGCGCAACCCUUGUCCUUAGUUGCCAGCAUUCAGUUGGGCACUCUAAGGAGACUGCCGGUGACAAACCGGGAGGAAGGUGGGGAUGACGUCAAAUCAUCAUGCCCCUUAUGACCUGGGGCUACACACGUGCUACAAUGGAUAGAACAAAGGGCAGCGAAGCCGCGAGGUGAAGCAAAUCCCAUAAA
rnacentral:rRNA from 1 species